rnacentral:rRNA from 1 species
CCUACGGGAGGCAGCAGUGGGGAAUAUUGGACAUUGGGGGCAACCCUGAUCCAGCCAUGCCGCGUGUGUGAAGAAGGCUUUCGGGUUGUAAAGCACUUUCAGUAGGGAGGAAAACCUUAUGGUUAAUACCCAUGAGGCUUGACGUUACCUACAGAAGAAGCACCGGCUAAC